GUGCGGUCAAAUGAGGGGGCCUCCUCAGACGAGCGGCGGACGGGUGAGUAAUGCAUGGGAAUGCGCCCGAUAGUGGGGGACAACCCUGGGAAACCAGGGCUAAUACCGCAUGUUUUCUACGGAACAAAGCGGGGGAUCUUUUCGGAGACCUCGCGCUAUCGGAGCAGCCCAUGUCCGAUUAGCUUGUUGGCGGGGUAACGGCCCACCAAGGCGACGAUCGGUAGCUGGUCUGAGAGGAUGAUCAGCAACACCGGGACUGAGACACGGCCCGGACUCGUACGGGAGGCAGCAGUGGGGAAUAUUGGACAAUGGGGGCAACCCUGAUCCAGCGAUGCCGCAUGAGUGAAGAAGGCUUUCGGGUUGUAAAGCUCUUUCGCAGGGGAAGAAAAAACGCGGAGUAAUACGCCGCGUCCAUGACGGUACCCUGACAAGAAGCACCGGCUAACUUCGUGCCAGCAGCCGCGGUAAUACGGGGGGUGCAAACGCGUUAAUCGGAAUUACUGGGCGUAAAGCGUGCGUAGGCGGCCGUCCAAGUCAGAUGUGAAAGCCCCGGGCUCAACCCGGGAACUGCGUUUGAAACUGGAGGGCUUGAGUUUGGCAGAGGAAGGUGGAAUUCCGCGUGUAGCGUGGGAAUGCGUAGAGAUGCGGAAGAACACUAAUGGCGAAGGCAUCCUUCUGGGCCGACACUGACGCUGAGUCACGAAAGCGUGGGGAGCAAACAGGAUUAGAUACCCUGGUAGUCCACGCCCUAAACGAUGCCCGCUAGCUGUCGGAGGUUCCAAUUUAUUGGUCUUUCGGUAGCGACGUAACGCGUUAAGCGGGCCGCCUGGGGAAUACGGUCGCAAGAUUAAAACUCAAAGGAAUUGACGGG
rnacentral:rRNA from 1 species